UAUGGCAAUAUCACGCUGGGACAUCGAUACUCGUACGAUCACCGAAGUUAAGCAACGUCGGGCCUGGUCAGUAAUUAGAUGUGUGACCGAUUUCGAAUACCAGGAGCCGUAAU